rnacentral:rRNA from 1 species
AGUGAACGCUGGCGGUAGGCCUAACACAUGCAAGUCGAACGGCAGCACAGUAAGAGCUUGCUCUUACGGGUGGCGAGUGGCGGACGGGUGAGGAAUACAUCGGAAUCUACUUUUUCGUGGGGGAUAACGUAGGGAAACUUACGCUAAUACCGCAUACGACCUACGGGUGAAAGCAGGGGAUCUUCGGACCUUGCGCGAUUGAAUGAGCCGAUGUCGGAUUAGCUAGUAGGCGGGGUAAAGGCCCACCAAGGCGACGAUCCGUAGCUGGUCUGAGAGGAUGAUCAGCCACACUGGAACUGAGACACGGUCCAGACUCCUACGGGAGGCAGCAGUGGGGAAUAUUGGACAAUGGGCGCAAGCCUGAUCCAGCCAUACCGCGUGGGUGAAGAAGGCCUUCGGGUUGUAAAGCCCUUUUGUUGGGAAAGAAAAGCAGCAGGUUAAUACCCCGCUGUUCUGACGGUACCCAAAGAAUAAGCACCGGCGAACUUCGU